CUGUCUCAGCCUUUUGUGACUUUUCUUACGUCCUACUCAUUCCUCCCACACACCACGGCGUCAUUUAGCAACCAACCAUUCUCAUUUCUUGUCAUCUCUCUCACUAGCACCUUUUCCCUUCUUCCUCCUUUCAUUAUUUUCUCCACUACUCACUUCACAGACACGUUCUAGCUGAAUAUUCAAGAGGUUUUCAUGAUUGGAUAGGACAUAGGAAGUUGCUUAUCUAAUUAUUUAUGCCUCUGUACUGAUACAUGAUUGUGUCUUGAAUCGUGAACUUGUGAUUAAGAGGGGCUGCAUAGGACAUUUGUUAAAUUUUGGAAGAAGAUGGCUGAAAGGAAAUUGAAUAUUAAUGCCCCUCUCAUGUCUGUGAGACGCUCUUCUGCUACACCACCAUCAUUGAUUGAAGCAAAGAAGAAGAUAUUAGAGAAACGUCACACUCUUCCUUACUAUAAACAAGACAUGACUAUGGAUCAGGUAACUGAACCCGUUGCAGUGCCUUUCAAUUGGGAGCAUAUCCCUGGGAGACGCAAGGGUAAUGGUGGAUCCGAACCUCAGGUUCCUAAGGCUACUUCAAUCACUCCAAGCCCGAGGCUUCCCCCUGGAAAAUCUACCAAUUCUCCCAAACAUCCACUGGAAAAGGAAACUAAAGCUGCAAGUAAAUUUGAGUCCUCGAAUAAAUCGAAGUCUUUAAAUGUCAGUGUGGCUAAAAUAGACUGUGAGAGAGAAAGAAAAGCUGAGAAAAUAGUUGAAAUUAGAAGGUCCAACGUGGAGGAAGAUGUUGAUGAUGAUGUUUACUCCGAUGCCCUUGAAACACUGUCACCUACAGAAUCAUUCUCCCUGAACUGUAGCGUUAGUGGUGUAAGCGGAGAGAAUUUGGAAGCAAAGAAGUUUGGAACGUUUUCCACAGAUGAACAAACCCGAGACUUCAUGAUGAGCCGUUUCUUGCCUGCUGCAAAGGCUAUGACAUUACAGCCUCCUCAAUAUGCUUCAAAAAAGCAAUCUGUACUAGUAGAACAACAACCUAGAGAUGUUAGCAAAUUAGUUCGUGAGGAAAAGAAGCACUUGUAUAAUAGACUUACCACUGAUAUUAUACCAUAUACUGGCCCAAGUCAAGAGGAAGAAAGUGAAGAUGAAGGUGAUGAUUAUGACAACUCUGCGAAUAUCUCAGCCAAAGGUUGCGGGUUGUUACCUCAGUUACAUAUUAGGAAUUCAUUGUGCUUAUUGAAUCCUGUGGCUGGGAUGAAAAUGAAGAAUCAGGUCCCUUUGUCUUUAGUCUCUGAAGUUGGAAAACCAAACAAAAGCUCCCAUAUUAGAUCUUUUAGCCCGGUUCCUGCUGUAAAGAAGGCUUGGGAUGCUAUUCACAAGAACAAAUCAGGCUCUGGGGCGUCAUCACCUGACAUGCUAGAGGGUAGAAAAAAAAUGAAUAGUGAAUCAAACAGAUUUGCUUACUCAGGUGAGUUGCUACCAGGUAGGCUUUCUCCCUUUCGUCGUUCAAGAGCUGCUGCUACCGGUAUAUCUCCCUGUCGAAGUAAACCUCAAUCUCCCUUUCGUGGAACCAAGUUGCUUGGUGAUUCUAAAGAGGCUGAAAACUGUAAGUCUAGCAAGUUGAAAUUCUACAGCGGUGCGCUGCCACUUGGGAAUGUUCAAGAUGUGCUAUCCCAAGGAGCAAAAAGAAGUUCAUAUUCAGGGAACCUUACAUUUGAAAAGACUUUGUACAUAGAUACUGCAAGUACAGUCAAAUUUUCAUCUUCAAAUUUAAGUUCUGUAGAUAACAAACGGAGGGUAGAUACCGUGGCUGAAGACUUAGACAGAAGAAAGGGGAAAGGAAGUAAUUCCACCUUAGAAUCUUCUCAGGAUAAAACACGUGUACAAACUAUGGAAGAAAAGGACACAUUUGAUUCUCAAGUUUUAAGUUCUAUUGAUUCCAAUCCACCAACUUUGUACAGUAUUUUAAAUCUCACAGCCAAAGAAGACAAAGAUGAAGGAUUGAUAACUGAUCAAAAUAUUAACCAAGAACCCAUGUCCUUGCCACUUGUGCAGGGGACAUUUGCUGAAGAUUCAAACACUGACACCCAGCAAAUUGUGUUAGCAAAUGGUUUAGGAAAAGGUGGUGCUGAAUCUGCUGUGUCUCCUCUUCCCCCACCAUUGCCAAAAUCACCUUCCGAGUCAUGGCUUUGGCGUGCCUUGCCUUUAGUUUCUGUGAAGAAUUCUUUUCUGCACUCAAAUCAAGGUACUCAAUCCCAUGCUAAAAGGCAGGAUUCUAAUACAGCAUCCGGAAAUAUCAAGUGGGAAACAAUAGUAAAAACUUCGAAUUUGCAUCAUGAUCACGUACGCUAUUCUCAGGAAUUACCCACGCAUAAAUCUCAGCACUCAAAAUCUUAGAGAUGAAACUCAGUAACAUGUUAUGGUCCAAGCUUUUUGUGUCCUCUUUUUAGUCAAGCUUAAGAAAAAUCAAUAAAAGCAAAGCUUCUUUGUGACAUGUGGCACUUUCGGUGGAUUCAAGAUUUCUUAACCUGCCAAGAGAAAGUGUACAUCGGUUAGAACUGUGUGCCCUUUCAUCAUGUUGUUUUAGUCUUCUCCGCUUCUUUCUGCUUAAUCAGAGGAAUGAUUCUUUAGGUUCCCUCACCUGAUGGUAGUCUCAAUCUUCAGGUAUCAGCAUUUUUUAUGUCAACUGACACAAGUGAUUACUGUCAUCAAUGCUUUAUUGAUUGUUCUCCAUUUUCUUUAUACAAAUAAAAAGAAUUGUUCAAAAAUCAAAGUAUUUGGUCUGUUUUUCCUCAUCACUUUCAGAAGCCUAUGUCCAAGUAUGUAAAUCAGAUUAGUUCUGAAUUGAGAUGAAUUUCAAGUUCUCAUGCAUUUGGGGUAUUUCUUAGGUGAUGCUGCUAGCAAAACCUAGCACAGAGACAGGACAAAGUAACUGUCAUAAAUUGCAAGUUAACUUAUAUAAAUGAUCUUUCUCUUUCAUGUCUUAUGAUUACAAGUUACUUCGCAAUCGCAAGUCAUGCAAAAAUGGAUUAGUUAAUGUUAUCUGUAUCUCCAUCUUAAUGUCUGUCCCUGGUAUACUCUUGUGCCCUGUCACAUGAACAUUUUGAAAUUACAUUUGAAAGGACAGAGAUGAACGAGGUUUCGAAAAUAUGAACUCAAUGUUGUUUAUUUGGUUAAUGUUAAACAAUUAUACUAAGUCUUGGUUG